GAUGAACGCUGGCGGCGUGCCUAAUACAUGCAAGUCGAGCGAACGGACGAGAAGCUUGCUUCUCUGAUGUUAGCGGCGGACGGGUGAGUAACACGUGGAUAGCCUACCUAUAAGACUGGGAUAACUUCGGGAAACCGGAGCUAAUACCGGAUAAUAUUUUGAACCGCAUGGUUCAAAAGUGAAAGACGGUCUUGCUGUCACUUAUAGAUGGAUCCGCGCUGCAUUAGCUAGUUGGUAAGGUAACGGCUUACCAAGGCAACGAUGCAUAGCCGACCUGAGAGGGUGAUCGGCCACACUGGAACUGAGACACGGUCCAGACUCCUACGGGAGGCAGCAGUAGGGAAUCUUCCGCAAUGGGCGAAAGCCUGACGGAGCAACGCCGCGUGAGUGGUGAAGGUCUUCGGAUCGUAAAACUCUGUUAUUAGGGAAGAACAUAUGUGUAAGUAACUGUGCACAUCUUGACGGUACCUAAUCAGAAAGCCACGGCUAACUACGUG
rnacentral:rRNA from 1 species